rnacentral:rRNA from 1 species
AGUGAACGCUGGCGGUAGGCCUAACACAUGCAAGUCGAACGGCAGCACAGUAAGAGCUUGCUCUUACGGGUGGCGAGUGGCGGACGGGUGAGGAAUACAUCGGAAUCUACUUUUUCGUGGGGGAUAACGUAGGGAAACUUACGCUAAUACCGCAUACGACCUACGGGUGAAAGCAGGGGAUCUUCGGACCUUGCGCGAUUGAAUGAGCCGAUGUCGGAUUAGCUAGUUGGCGGGGUAAAGGCCCACCAAGGCGACGAUCCGUAGCCGGUCUGAGAGGAUGAUCAGCCACACUGGAACUGAGACACGGUCCAGACUCCUACGGGAGGCAGCAGUGGGGAAUAUUGGACAAUGGGCGCAAGCCUGAUCCAGCCAUACUGCGUGGGUGAAGAAGGCCUUCGGGUUGUAAAGCCCUUUUGUUGGGAAAGAAAAGCAGCAGGUUAAUACCCCGCUGUUCUGACGGUACCCAAAGAAUAAGCACCGGCUAACUUCGUG